rnacentral:tRNA from 1 species
GUGGGGUUAGCUCAGUUUGGUAGAGCAACGAAAGAAACCAAAAUGGAAUCUUGAAAAGGAUUCUAACAGCAUUAUAUCUUCUACUGUAAAUUCGCGGGUCGGUGUGUUCAAAUCCACCACCCCACA